rnacentral:lncRNA from 1 species
UAAUACACGUGUUAUUAAUGAUGAAUAAUCUUGUAAACAAUAUGAAACAAAAGAGAAAUUAAUUUUACCUUGGACAUGCAGUCCCUUUUGGCUAAAGAUACCACGCGCCAACACAAACAUCACUGCAUGGAUGUCAUCGAAAUCACGAUGAGCUAUCGCACAUACCAAUAUCGGUACCACUAUGUGCUAUUGCACUUUUUUCGGAACUCACCACCGACAGUAGCGAGCUUAGAUCUGGAAUGGAUCUAUGUCAAACCACUAUACUCAUUCCUCUUCCUCUCUCUACUAGACACGACGCUCUCAGAUUCCCACCCCAUUGAUCCACCAUGCUAGUUUUCUUCUUUUAUCAUGCACGAAUCUGCAUAUUCACACAGAUUCGACACUUCCUCGGGUUUUGAUCACCUGCGAUCACGUCGUUAUUGCUUCUUUU